CCUACGGGUGGCUGCAGUGGGGAAUAUUGGGCAAUGGGCGCAAGCCUGAACCAGCAACGCCGCGUGAAGGAAGAAGGCUUUCGGGUUGUAAACUUCUUUUCUCAGGGACGAAGAAAGUGACGGUACCUGAAGAAAAAGCAUCGGCUAACUCCGUGCCAGCAGCCGCGGUAAUACGGAGGAUGCGAGCGUUCUCCGGAUUUAUUGGGUUUAAAGGGUGCGCGGGCGGUCUGUUAAGUCAGGGGUCAAAGCCCGGGGCUCAACCCCGGCCCGCCGUUGAAACUGGCAGUCUCGAGUUGGGGAGAAGUAUGCGGAAUGCGCGGUGUAGCGGUGAAAUGCAUAGAUAUCGCGCAGAACUCCGAUUGCGAAGGCAGCAUGCCGGCUCCACACUGACGCUGAGGCACGAAAGCGUGGGUAUCGAACAGGAUUAGAUACCCCAGUAGUC
rnacentral:rRNA from 1 species